UGCUAAAAUACAUUUGAUGUUGUGACGUAAUUUCCUGUUGGUUCCGCAUGUGCACGAGGUUUUCCUUUGCUAAAGCUCCAGGGGAAGGAAGGAAAAUAAUUUUGUCCUUUAAGAGAGAUCUCAUUCAAAUCUUCCCCGACCCCGGUAAUUCUUCAUUUCACGCCUUGGGUUCCCAAAAAGUUCUACUAGCAUUCAAUCCUUCAAUGACCUACAGACUCUACAAAAAGUUUCCCUUGGACAACAACAUACCUGUUUGUGGCCAUAAGGACUUUGAUGUUACCACGAGGAUCAAAUCCAUCAAGCUGGUUGAUGAGCUCAAGCAUAGUACGCUGAACCUCGUUAUCACCCCCUGCACCAUCGUCAAACCUUGCACCUGACAAACAAAGCAAGGUCAUCAAACUCUGCUGAAAGGUCCACACAAAUAAGAAAAUGUUGACAAACACUGGGAGCUAGGAGAGGUUACCUAAGAAAAUGAUUUGAAAAAUAUGAUAUGACUAAAACAAAACCUCCCCACUGCUCUAAAUUCUGGCUAGAAUUCCUGUAGGUUCCAUAAAAUGGCAAAAACAUUAGAAUGGAUUGUUCGAUUCUUAAAACAUACCGGAUCACAGAUCUUUUGAUUUUUGGAUUCUGAUAAUCAAGCCUGUGAUUGCGCCAAUUUUUGACUUUAAUGAUUUUGUGAUUGUUUUCCUCAACCAUGUGUUUCAGAUUCAGAUUAAAGCAAAACUUUGUGUGGA